rnacentral:rRNA from 1 species
UGAGGAAUUUUGCGCAAUGGGAGCAAUCCUGACGCAGCAACGCCGCGUGGGUGAUGAAGGCCUUCGGGUCGUAAAGCCCUGUCAGGUGGGAAGAAUGUCCCGGGACUGAACAGGUUUCGGGAGUGACGGUACCACCAGAGGAAGCACCGGCUAACUCCGUGCCAGCAGCCGCGGUAAUACGGAGGGUGCAAGCGUUAUUCGGAAUUACUGGGCGUAAAGCGCGUGUAGGCGGUCCCGCAAGUCGGAGGUGAAAGCCCCGGGCUUAACCCGGGAAGUGCAUUGGAUACUGUGGGACUUGAGUACUGGAGAGGAUGGGGGAAUUCCCGGUGUAGAGGUGAAAUUCGUAGAGAUCGGGAGGAAUAGCAGUGGCGAAGGCGCCCAUCUGGACGGUAACUGACGCUGAGACGCGAAAGCGUGGGGAGCAAACA